UGGAGCAUGUGGUUAAUUCGAAGCAACGCGAAGAACCUUACCAGGUCUUGACAUCCCGAUGCUAUUUCUAGAGAUAGAAAGUUACUUCGGUACAUCGGUGACAGGUGGUGCAUGGUUGUCGUCAGCUCGUGUCGUGAGAUGUUGGGUUAAGUCCCGCAACGAGCGCAACCCCUAUUGUUAGUUGCCAUCAUUCAGUUGGGCACUCUAGCGAGACUGCCGGUAAUAAACCGGAGGAAGGUGGGAUGACGUCAAAUCAUCAUGCCCCUUAUGACCUGGGCUACACACGUGCUACAAUGGUUGGUACAACGAGUUGCGAGUCGGUGACGGCGAGCUAAUCUCUUAAAGCCAAUCUCAGUUCGGAUUGUAGGCUGCAACUCGCCUACAUGAAGUCGGAAUCGCUAGUAAUCGCGGAUCAGCAUGCCCGCGGUCGAAUACGUUCCGGGCCUU
rnacentral:rRNA from 1 species